GAUCCUGGCUCAGGAUGAACGCUAGCUACAGGCUUAACACAUGCAAGUCGAGGGGCGAGCAUGGUCUUAGCUUGCUAAGACUGAUGGCGACCGGCGCACGGGUGAGUAACACGUAUCCAACCUGCCGUCUACUCUUGGACAGCCUUCUGAAAAGGAAGAUUAAUACAAGAUGGCAUCAUGAGUCCGCAUGUUCACAUGAUUUAAAGGUAUUCCGGUAGACGAUGGGG
rnacentral:rRNA from 1 species